CAUUUUAUAUAUUCUUUUAUAAUAAUAAUAAUAAUAAUAAUAAUAAUAAUAAUAAUAAUAAUAAUAAUAAUCCUUUCAUUUUCUGUCGUAUUAAAUGGUCUUUAUCUCAGCCCACUUGUCCUACCUUUUUUCCAAUUCUCAGCCCCAUCCCACUAGGGAAGGAGUGAGCGAAUAGCCAUGUGAUGUUGAGCUGCCUGCUGGGUUAAGCCACACCAUCACCUCUACUCAGAACUGCCGCAGCUCCAAAGCGUAGAAGGCUUGGACCAUGACUGCUAAGGCUGGAGAAUCCUCAGGAGGUUUUCUCUGAAGUAAACUAGAACUUUCAGUGAGUGAGCUGAAGAAAAAUCAGAAAGUAGUGAUGUUGAUUCCAACAGCCUGGAUUUUAGACAAAGGCUCUGUGCUCUGUAAGAACACUGACCUCGUGGCACUGCUUUCCUUGAUGAGUGAUGUCUUCAGCUCAAGUCGGAAUGUGUGAUUUGCAUAAGGCAAGUAAAAUCCAUCUCACACCCUGUUUAGAAAUAUUAGUUAGAGAGUAGAGCAGUAUAAUGUAUUAUAGAAAGAGGCUGCAGAAGAAAACAUGUAUCUCACAAAAUGAUCAUUAAAACCAAACUCAAUAUGUAUUUAAAUCGUAAGAAAUUCUUCUCCAAGGGCCCUGGAAAGGCAAAUCCACAAAUACUCUCAGAUCAAUAUCAAGAAAAGAAAAACACAAGCACUCUUUUGUGAGUCAGUGAGGAUACAGAUCCAAGGUGCACAGCACAGGAGGUGAGGAGGAUUAUAUUCAGCCCUUGAGUGCAAAGAAUAAAGCCUCUACUCCCAGCAAGUGACCAACUAUCCAUAAACCAACUGAAAAUGAGAACCUGCCUUCUCUAGUUAUGUGUGAUAAGAACCUCACAUCAUCUACACCUGCUUCUUAUGCUUAGAUCGUUUACAUUUCUCUGCCUCGUUCAGUUGGAGAGAUGGAUAGUCAUGACCUUUGUUAGCACGCUGAAGUUAAACGUCUGAAAGGACUGCUGGUCUGCUUCAACUUGGUUGUGCAGCAGCUGUAACUUAACACAGUGCCAGUAUCUGAGGGUUUAUUCAAGACAUCAGCUAGUACCAUCCUUGUUGAAAUCAACUGUGGCUUGAACAACAGCUGUUUCUGGAGAUCAAGGAUCCAUCAUCAGUUUAAUCCUCAUUAACUAUUAAUAGAUCACUUCAAGAUACUCCUUGAACUACCAAGGCAGGCUACGGGAAACAGCACAGACUGGACAUCUAGAUUAAGAAGCUGAAGUUGUGCAAGGUGACAUUAUAUGUGGGAGUCACAGUUAAGGUUAGUUUUGUCCAAGAUCAAGAAGUCUCUUGGAGCACAUGGCGUCAAGUUUCACUGUUAAAGUAUUUAAUUAUUCAGUAUCACUAUCCAUGAAGACUUCACAAAAAUCCUAAAAUCAAAAACUAGAUGUGGAAGAUGCAGCUUAAUACACUUCAUGCUGAAUCUUUGGUCCUUGUUUCCAACCCUUUGGAGUACCUAGGACAAUCCAGAGAUCUCUUACAGUUAAAUGUUAUGGUGCUGAACUAAAUUAAAAUGUUGUUUCCUUGAAAACGCCAAAAGAUUUCUUCCAUCUUUUGGGAGAUGCCAGAUUUAGCUUUAGGGAAAGGAGGUUUACAGCCUGAAAGUUUCAUCAUACACAGGCCCACUUCCUUUUAAUUUUUUAGAAAACAUUACAUAUGGAGCAGAUAGGAGAUAUUUCAGUGUGUGAGAUCUGCUGCUGUUAUCAUACACUCUGAAUCUGCCUCCUGGUUGUAACUCAGAGCAGAAUAUUGAGAUGGCCAGUGGCUCUUCGAAAUCACAAAAUUAUUUUAAUUCCUCUCUCUUCUUGAUCCUCCUCACUGACUUUUCUCUCAACUGCAGCUAAAACAGGAUAUUGAAGGUUCUUCUGGAAUUCAAAUGGAAAAUAAUAACACCCAUGUCUUUUCAAUGACAAUGACAGAGCUUUGUAUGCCUGUCUUUAAUGUGAGGCAUUUCAGAUUUUCCCACCCUGAAUUCACAAUGGUGAAAGGUGACCUAGGCCAAAUGCCAGAAUGAUUUAAAGUAUUUGACAUACAAAGAGUUGUUCUCUCCUACCCGCACUACACUAGACAGCUUUGGUGGUUCAAGAGCUCAAAACCCAGUUAUCUUAGUCUUCCACUGUCCUCUACAUCCCCUAGUUCUCAAAUAUCUUUGAAAGAACAAGCAUACUGUUUUGAAAAUAUGAAUAGGUUUAGCAACUAGAAUAUAGCUAGAAAAAGAAAUAAUUUGCAUUCUUCUUUAGAUUGACUUGGAGAUCUACUCAGCAUGUUUCCUGUUUCAUAAAUGCUGUUGUUUGUGUACAUGUGCACAGGCCACACUUAAAUAGCAUAGCUCUGAGAGAAAUGGAUAAGAUUAAGUUUUCAUGCCUAUGGUGUCUCUAAACCAGUGAUGGGGGGAAAAAAUAGGAAAGCUAAAGUAACAAGAAAAUAACAGAAAUUUAAAGAGUAAAUGUAUCCUACAAGUUGUAAGAAAGCGUGAGGAAGCACCAGAAGCCACUUAAGUGAGUUGGAAAUGUGCUUGAAUCAAGUGAAAUACAGCUAAACAACAGAUUGGUAAAAGCUCAGAUGGAAAGGGAAGGGAAGAAGUAAUCCAUAAACAACACAGAAAUAGAAUGCAUGUUUUGUCUGAUAUAAUACUAUCUCUUUGGACUGAAUGAGAGGUAGAAAUGGUAAUAAGGCAUGGCUUGAGACACGCUGAGUAAGCUGAGUAAUGGAAAGUAGCAGAAGAGAUUAGUUUCUCCAGGGAACACACAAUGUGCAUCAGUCUAGCUAGACAGCCUUGCUUCUGCACAUUCUUUGUUUAUAAUGCAGCUGCUCUGAGCUGUCGAAGAAAACUCUGUAUGAUAAUCUCUAGGCAUAUCACUAUAAUUACUUUACAUAUAUUGAAGAAAGUAUGAACUGACAACCUACUCCUUUGUUGAGGUUUCUUAAGCAGAAAAAAGAUUUCACAGUUGGUGUAAAAAGCUGACUGGUAGAAAAGGACUCGGGGUUCUUGGUCAACAGCCGGGUAAACAUGGGUCAGCAGUGUGUCCAGGUGGCCAAGAAGGCCAAUAGAAUCCUGGCUUGUAUCAGAAAUAAUGUGGCCAGCAGGACUAUGGAAAUGAUUGUCCCCCUAUACAUAGGCCACACCCUGAAUCCUGUGUUCAGUUUUGGGCCCCUCACUACAGGAAAGACAUUGAGGUGCUGGAUGGUGUCCAAAGAAGGGCAACGAAGCUGGUGAGGUGCCUGGAGCACAAUUCUUACAAGUAGCAUAUGAGGGAACUGGGGCUAUUUAGCCUGGAGAAAAUGAGACUGAAGGGAGACCUUGUCCCUCUCUACAACUGCCUGAAAGGAGGCUGUAGUGAGGGGUGGGUGGUGUUGGUCGCUCCUCCCAAGCAACAAGCAGUAUGAUGAGAAGAAAUGGCCUCAAGUUGCACCAGAGGAGGUAUUGAUUGGGUAGGAGGAAAAAUUUCUUCACUAAAAGUGUUUUCAGGCAUUGGAACAGUCUGCCCCAGGAUGCCCUGUGGUUGAGCCAUCAUCCCUGGAGGUAUUUAAAAAAUGCGUAGAUGAGGUUCUUAGGGAUGUGGUUUAGAGAUGGACUUGGCAGUGCGUGUUAAUGGUUGGACUUGAUGAUCUUAAAGGUCUUUUCCAACCGAAACCAUUCUAUGAUACUAUGAAAAAGUGUUUUAUUACUACAACUAAUGUCCCAUCCAGAGUCAGUACCUUCAUAGAGACUUUAAAUAGCUUUUGCUCUGUAUAUAAACCAAGUACUUGUCCUAUCAUAUUAUCUGAAGAUAAGCAGUGAUCCAAAAACAUCAAUAAUGUUUACCUUUUUUUGUAGUUAUAUCUUGUAGCUUCAUAUAUAGGCUGAACAUUUAAUCUGUCCCUUUUAUAGGAAUGAAAAGCCAUUGAUGUCUGAGGAUGGAGAGUGAAUUGAUCCAAUACCCAUGGAAGCUACAGUGUUUUUAAAUAUAGCGUUGUGUUAAUUACUAUCUCAUACUGUAGAUAAAAACGUUAAGAAAAAAGACUAAAACUCUAGUAGAUGAGUUGUCAUUGUUUUAGCUAAGUAUUUAGUUCCCUCAGUCAGAGAUCCUUUGUAAGGAUUAUUUUAAUCCUUAGAUCACUGGUAUAGUUGAUAGGGACUGACUACUACGAUGGCUGAGUGUGAUAAUUAAAUUCCCAUUCUACAUGAUCUAGACAGCCCCUGCAAGAAACACAGUUUCCUGCCUGUUAGACGAAACAGCAAAAGAGGUCCUUGGUCAAGGGAGAACAGGUAGAGACCUUCCACUUCCAUGACUGUCAGUUAUUUUUUUUCUACUGAGUGCUAAAUUUCAGUAGAAGAUUUCCUUAAACCCUCAACCUUUUGUUCUUCCCUUCAUUAUUUCCUUAAGAAUCUUUAAGAAGAACUCCCUUGGGAUUAUAAUGUUGGAACUCUUUUUAGAUUAAGAUCAUUUGUUUAAAUAAACUUUCCCCCUUUCAUUAAAAUCACUUUGCUCUUCUUAAUUAAAACCCAACCUUUGGAGUAUAAUAGUGAUUACAACCUGAUCUUCUGCUCUGCAUAUUGAACUGGGACAGCUGCUCUAGUUCAGAGUACUACAAAGAAUGUUUAACUGCAGUUUAAACAUGGGCCUAAGUCUUUUGAAAUGGGGAGAACUAAACAUUCUGACUUUCAAGCCCAAGGUGCUAAAUGUUUUGCAGUCAUUUCCAUAAAAUAUCUGAGAUAUCAUGCUCAAAAGAACUUUAAUCAAAUAUAAAACAGGUUGUAAAAUCAGUGAGAUGGCCCUGAAGAAAAGCUUAUUCCAUUAAUAGAUGCAGUUGCCAUACAAAUACAUCAGUUUACUCGGUCAAUAAAUUAACUGUUUUCUAGCUAAUAUUGUUUCCAUGCAAACCAAGCUGCAUAAUCGUUGUGCAAUGACAGUGCUUUUAGUCAGAAAAAACAUGUUUUAUAUAACACACAGCUCAAUUAAUUAUCUAACUAUACUAGAAAAGUCCUCUUUCUAAACGCAAAACCAAGACAGAUGUCUUAAAUACUGUAACUCAUGCUUUAGUACAAAAUCUCGUUCCUGACUUUCUUUAAGUGAAUGUGUGUUUGAGGCAUGUGUUCCAGCGUGGGAGAAGCUGGGUGGGGGUGAAAAAGACACACCCCAAAAAUGCACCAGAAAACCUUAUGAUCAAACCCGUUAGUUAUGCUGAACCAAAUUACAGAAUUGCCUUUUUUGUUUUAGUUGAAUGUUCAGACUUACCCUGCAUAUAAUCAGGCCCAUCACUACUUGAUCUCUAGGGAUCCUAAGCAGAAGCAGCAAAACAUUCAAAGUGGAAGCUUGGUUUCAUACACUUAACAUUUGUGGAGCAUGGUGAAAGAAACUUGUCUUAGGGGUAGUGCUAGGACAUCAGGGUAUUUCUUAUUAGGACAAUAUACAGAAAGCAUGGAUCAUCAGCUAGUAGGGUUAGUCUAGUCAAUGGAGCCAUUACCAAUUUAGAUAAGUUAAGGAUUCUGCCCACAACUCUAGUUUUCUUUCCCACCUGCCUUUUUGGAGGGUCUGGAGCAAUUGUCUGCUUUGGAAAUUAGAACAGUGAGAUGCAAUCCUGUAUCUCAGUGACAAACUGAAUAGCCUUGAGCAAAUGGCCUGGGGAAGUCUCCAAAAUAGGAUUGUAAUGUGCUCACCACUCUAAUUACAUGCAAAGUGGUAUAGACACAAAGCACUAGGUUUCCAAGGUAGCAAAGCUAGGAAUAACAUUACAAAAUGAGCUGGCCUUUGGUCUGCAAGUGUCAACUUUAAGCCAUUGUAUUUCAAGGUGAGGGAAAGAGUUCUGUGUUCUACUCUGUAUUAUCUGAAAGAAGUUUUUAAGGAACAGAUUAGCAGAAGGAAAACAAGUAAUGUACAUAAAGGUCAGGAGGCAAAAGGAAAAGUAGUCUAAGGUGAAGUGUCUAUUUCAUUUCCCUCCAACCUCUGUUUAAACAGCUAAGCAAGACCAAAAAAUACCACCAAGCAAAAAAAAAAUCCACAAAACCAAACCAACGAACCAACCAAAAAACUAAAGCAAAAAACAAACCCAAACAAAACAUAACAAACAAAAAAGCAAAAAACAAUGACAAACCAAACAAACCAAACCAAACCAAUGCUAGCCUAAAAAAAAACCCCAAACCAAAACCCCCACACCUUGCUACUUAUCUGCUACCUAGUGACUCUUGCUUUGGCUUAUGAGUGAGGUACUGGAUGCCACUGUAAUGGGGUCAGCCCUUGUGCUGCACAUACUUUUACAAUAGAUGCCAAAUGCUGCACAAGUAUCAGAACUGGUUUUGUUCAGGAAGUUUCCAGCUAUCAAAGUUAUUAAAGAGUCAUUAUUAAAAUUAUUAUUGACUUAACUCUACAGCAACUUAAUGAAGAGUCAUGUAACUCUCUCCUGCCAUCCUUCCCCACUUUGAGUUGAAUCCUACACCUGAAAAUUAGUGACUAGCUAAAGGAACGUGAUUUCUGAAUGAUGGUAACUGACCUUAUUGCUGCAUCUUUUGCCCUGGGGUUGGAGCAAGUGCCUCACUGGAAUUCUUCUAACAGUUCAAAGUAUUUCUCAGGGCUAAUACCAUGUGACCCGUUUAAAUUGUCUAAAUAGUAAUGUUCCAUUUAAAUUGCUUUUUAACUCCUAUUUUUUAUUAGUUGCAUCUUCAAAGACAGCUUUGUGUGCCAUUAAAUAAUUAAUCAUUUUUAGUAAUAGAUAGAACUUUUAAAAACACAGAUACUCACAGCAGUAGUGGUAGUGUACUUUGCACCUAGAAAUGUGCUUGCAAAACAUUCAGAUUCUUCACUAGGACUUACCAGAAAGUGCAAAUAUCGUAGUCUUAAAUUCUAGAUGUUUCUUUAAAUGCUAAUUUUUUGCAAAGGCUUUAAUUCCCCAUAUGGAGGCACCAAGCACCAGCCCAUUUUGUUUCUGGCAAAACUGGAGGAAAGCUUAUUUCACAUUUCUAAUUAAUUUUUUUUCUUGCUGCAUAAGGAGUCCUGAUGGGAUUCCUCAGGGUAGUUGGAUGGGUUUCUGAUUGAAUUACAACUGGCCCGAUUGCGUGAAUAUUUCAUUUAAAUGUUGUGAACUGAAAACAACAAUUAACGACAACCUGAAUAAUAAAAAGCACUACUUUACCUUCAAUCCUCUCUUCUCCCACACUUGAUUCAAAUUAGAUGCUUAGUCACUGGGAAAACAAACAAACAGAGCAAAACAACCUAACCCACUAAGAAAAAGAUAAGCAGGAGUCACUAUGUGGGAAGAGGAUACAACUAUAGUCAUCACCAUUGAAGUCAGAAACGCUUUGCCUGGAGAUUAUCAUUUUGUAUGUGACACUGUUGCAGAACUGCCCUUAUGAAGCCUGACUGUGCUCCAGAUCUGCCAUUUAUUCAAUAUACUGCACUAACUUUGGUUUCUGUCCAAUCUCACUUAAUGUAAUUUCAGUCUAUCUUCUCAUCUUGUAUUUAUCAAUAUAGUCACCAAGUGUUUUACUAGAGAACCACACUGCCCAUAGGUUCCCUGGGGAACACUUGCUAAUCUGGCUGAAAAUUCUGAAAUAGAUUGUCCAAACCCGCCCAGACUGAGUCACGGGCUUUUAGGUGAAUUGCCCACACUUACAAGUUCAGAUUUUGGCCAGGGCAGUUAGGAGUCAUCCAGCUGUGUCUGAUUCCCUGGCUGGAUUAUAGAUGUCUUCUAAAGCAUACAGUCAUAUAAGCUGCUAUUUAUGGUGAAUACGUUAGAAUCUGUGAAGUCUUAUAGCAAAACUAAAUGAGGGUGGGCUGGGGGGAUGGUGGCUGAUAAGGACAUGCAUUUUCUUCUUAUCUGUUCUGGAAAGCCGCUAUUGACAACGUUGACAGGUACUGUAUACAACCUGCAUUUAGAGAGUCUGCUUUUCUUGAUUUUGUAAAUUUGUCAAAGUCUUAAAAUUAAAAAGCUCAUAAGAAUUGGUCUAAAUCUGGCCAAAGUUCCAAUGUUUCAAAAAUAUUCUUAGCAGUUGAUGACUGAUAAAUCCUUGACAACUAGAAGAAAAUAAGUUUAUUAAUUAUAACCUUUAUCAUUAACUAUUAGUGAUCCACAGUGUUAAUCACAAGUUUAAAUUGUCAAUCUGAUUAUCAUAAUUGUGACAGCACAGUUACUAAAUCAGGACAAGUUAUUAGGAGGACUAAUAUGUUCCUAUUACAGAGUUUUCAAUGACUGUAUCAAUAUCCACAGCUCAGAAUAAAAACCUCCCUCUGUUCCCACAUGAGUAACAGCCCAAAUUAAGCUAGCAGAGCUAUACUGGAAAGAAAACAAAAACAGAGCCGGUGAAAAGGACAGGAAAUAAACCCACAACUUAAUUAGUUUUCUGCAGCAGCAACCAUGGUGAUUUCAUACGUAAAAUGGAGUCAGCACAAAGCACUGCAGAAGAAUCAAUGUUACAAGCCUCAGAUGCAAGGACAUGGGCGUAUUCUAGCCCCUGCGAACUGCUCUGGUGCUGCCUGUCCCUUCUCAGCUGCAGUCUUUGACUUUGUCUAAUUAGUGUGAUACCAUGUCAUGGGCUCAUUCUUCCAAAGAUAAAAGGAGCCCCCCCUACCUAAUUUCAGUAUUCCUCAAACUGAUUUUCAGUUGUAAAUACACCGAAAUUGCAUUUAAUUAUUUAAUGAUGCCGUUAUUCUAGAGUUUGGGUAAAGUGGCAAAGUUCUGUAUAGUGUAGCAAAUAGUAAUAAUAUAAUUUAAUAUUUAUAUAGAUAGAAUUAUAAUAAUAUAAUUAGACAAAUAGAAUUUGAAGUAUGUUCUGCAUAUUAUUUUUUUUCUGCAGGGUAAACUUCACACUUAAAGUGUGUUUAUGAAGCAUUUUCCCUUGCGUACAGUUUUUCCUUUGUUUUUGAGCUACUAUCCUCACACUAGGAGUGGUUUUCUCACGUGUAUUCUGCCUGUAUUUCUCAUUCUAGUUUUGGUUCCAAAUAAAUCAAAAUCUGAAAGGAAACUCAGCUGAAAAUGACAUGGUUUGGAUUUUAGAAGAAGUCCUCACAAUAAACCAUAAGGGUUUAUGUUGUUUUUGGUGCAACUGUGUGAGUUGGCUUCAGUAUUGCUGGGAGUAAACCACAAAUUUCAUCUUAGAUAUUGGAAAAAAAAUUGAAUUUAUAAACUGAGAACUGUAGUUUAGACCAAAAUCUCACACUAGUUCUAUGCAUCAAUAGGCUAAACUACAUUUCAAAUCACCCUGCAGCUGCAACACUAAUUUCAAACUUCCACCAACAUUAAAAACAUUCAAACUGGAUUUGGAUUCUAUACCUACAGUCAUCUUUGGAACAACCUUUAGGAAAUGUUUAGCCAUGGAUCUGUAUUGAUUUCAGGCCGUUUACGUUUUAAAAAUACAUCUGAGAAUCCGUUUGGUUCAAGCCAGACUUUGACUUCUAGGGAAAAGAGGGGAAAUACAGUUGGGGCAGGCAGGCAUGAGCUCAAGUUAUAGAUAUAGCAAAUCAAUUUUAUCUCUGUUCUGCAAUUUAAAAAAUACUUUAAACACCUGGUGUUGAACUUACUAUUUGAGCUGGCUAUAAAUCAGUCUAAGUGAAGGUUUGAUUUCAGGUUAUUCUCUGUGUGUGCACUGGUAUCAGUCAAAGUCCCAUUUUGACUGUGCAUUCAGAUUAUGUGAUUGUUGAGUGGUCAGGGUGUUGUUUUUGUUGGGGGAGGUGUUUGUUUUAAAUUUCCAAGUAGUAUUGACUUUAUAAGAGAUAUGUUAAUGGGACUUACAGAAUCACUGCCUCAAGUCUGAUUCUGUUUAAAAAUAGUUGCCCUGGGCAACAAAAUAAAUUCCUCUAAUAAGAAAACUGCCUCUUAAGGAGAGUUGUUGCUUUACUGACGAAGAAUAUUAUCUCCGUGUCUCAGUGGAGAUCACUGAGCUCACACAGGUUGGUUCUCUGAAGUUGAACAAUGGUGAGCCUGUGGCAGAUUUCAUGGAUGCACUGGUGUGCUAGGGCAGCUGCUCUGCGGUUGGGAGCACAGCUGACUUUUCUGCACUGCAGUCCUCAGAGCUGGCUACAAAUGUUCCUGGGAUACAUCAAAGGGUUUAUUUUGUGACAGUCAAUUUUGUGAUGUGGCUGUAUCUAGCAUCCUUAGGCAGAAGUUAUCUGUCCUCAGGUGGAAGCCACUUGGGGAGUCUCCUGAAAAAGCACUGUGGUCUUGGUUCUAAAAGUUAGAGCUACACUUAUUUUCCUUUGAUCACAUUCAGUCAAACCUCAGAGUAAUCUACAUGUGCCAAAAGUCCAAGGAGGGAGGAAGAAACUGUGUUUUUCAUCAGCACAACUGGAUAGAUCUGUUACUUGAGAGGAAGGGCAUCUGCUAUAAAAAUAUGACAUUUAUCAGAAUUGUGUGGGCAUCUAUUAUCAGGCCUUGCAUGAUGUAGCUUCAACCAGCCAUUCAUAUCAUUAUAAUAUUCAGGCUGUGUCAAGAGAGAUAUCUCUGCUCAGUGCUGCUGAGGCCACAGCUGGAGUGCCAUCUCCUGUUCUGUGUGCCCCAACACAAGACAGACAUGGGCUUCCUGGAAGGAGUCCAGCAAGAUUAUUACUAAGGUACUGGAGCAUCGGUCAUACAAGGAGAGGCUGAGAGAGCUGGGACUGGUUGUCUUGGAGCAGAGAAGGCUCAAGGGGGAUCUUAUUAAUGUAUGUACCCAAUGAGAGGGUGUAAAGAUGGUGAAGCCAGACUCUUCUCAGUGGUGCCCUGUGGCAGGAUGAGUGACAAUGGGCACAAGGCUCUAAGGAGACCUUAUUGCAGCCUUUCAAAUACUAAAAAUACUAAAAUAUACUCAAAUACUAAAAGAGGGUAUAUAAAUGGAAGAAAUCUUUUACAAUGAGAGUGGUGAAACAGUGGAACAGGUUGUCCAGAGAAAGGUGGUAGGUGACCCUUCAAUGGAAGCAUUCCAGGCCAGGCUAGAUGGGGUGCUGAGCAACCUGGUCUAGUUGAAGAUGUCCCUGCUCAUUGCAGGGAGUUGAACUAGAUGACCUUUAAAGGUUCCUUCCAACACAAACAAUUCUAUAAUUGUAUGAUUCUGUAACAGGUUGUCCAGAGAGAUUGUGGAGUCUCCAUCCUCAGGGUAUUCAAAACCCACAGACAUGGUUGUGGGCAACCUGUUCCAGCUGACUGUGCAUAAGCCAGGAGUGGUUGCACUAGAUGAUUGCCAGAGGUGCCUUCCAUCCUCAAUGAUUUUGUGAUACCAGUCAAAUGGAAAGCAUGCUGUGGGUGGGCUUACACCAACAACUCAUAUUGGUAUCACUGGGAUGAAAGUCUACUAUGAACUUCCUCCCCAGUCAGUGAAGUUAUGUGGUUUGCAAAGAGGGGAGUAGGCAAGGUAGAGUAGAGAAAGAUGCUUAUCUCGCAUUCCUGGAAACCACCCUGCCAUCGCUACCAAACCAAAUUUUGGUAGCCUGUAGAUGGGUUUACAGGCAAAGAGACAAAAAUAUGUUUUGCCUAAAUGAUGAAAAGCCUUGAAAAUGCAAUAUCACACAUUCUGAAACACUUUUUAAAAUGCACCACACAUUUUGGUUGUGCUGCAGAACUGUUUUACUGAGUCUGAAUCCCCACUCUCACAUUAUGUUUUUGUUCUCUGUUGUUUUAGGUAUGACCUUAAAAAAUGUGCUGAACAGCACUGUAAGAGUAAAACCUUAUUUCUAGAGAAAACUGGUUUAAAGAUUUGCCAACUUUGUUUUUCAUAUGGAAAACAUUUUCAUCAACCUUUAUAUUUAAGCUACUUCAAAGAAGUUUCAUUUUGGCAACACAGAAGAAUCAUUAAAAGCAUCCCGUUUGACCUUUUUGAGAGCAGAGAAUUUUGAUUUUGGUCCAAGACAAUAUGUCUACAUUAAACUAAUUUUUAAAGUUCCAUAAAAUUAAUAAGACGUCAGAUUAGUGGGACAUAUUUUUAUCUUAAUCAAAAUCAAAAGAACUUAAGUUUCCCAAGACAUCAGAGCUUUCCUCCAUUAAUUUCAUUUUUCAAAUAACCUAAAAUGCCUUAUUUUGUUUGAAAAUGUAAGAAAAUAUAUUCUUUAGAAGUCAUAAAACUUCCCACCAUACAAAAAGCCUGUGGUUCAUUCCCAUUUCUUUUAUAAUGAAAGUUCAUGCAUUUAUGGCAUUAGAUUGCUGUUUCAAAAACCUACAGUCACAAAUAUAAAUUAAUAUAAAUCAUCAUUUUAUCAAUUUACUCAUCAGAAGUAUCCUGAAAAUAAGUAUGGACAGGGUACAUACUUUCAAACCUGUACUUCUCACAUCUUUCCAGGUGUUAAAUAUCCUAUUUAUUUUCUAUUUGAAUUUAGAAUUCUCGGAAUUGUAGAAUACGCAGACCCAGGAUUACUGCAUUUUACAUUGUCCUGGUUUUGUUAAAAACAAGUUUCUCUUUCAGUGAAUUUUGCCUGUCAGCUAAAGCCUUCAUAUUAACUGCAUUUUCCUGGAGAACCAGACACAUGUUUUGGUAAACCUAGCAAUGGAAUGCAAAUUUAUUGAUAAGCACGGAUGGACAUCUCGUGAGAGGGGCAACGAGAAACCGGUGACCAAGAAACUGACCAACUGUGUAUAACAUUCCAUUCACGUGAAUACUUUAUAUAAAAGCGGGAGAUCACGACGAUCUUGUCCCUUUUCCCUCCUGCUUAUGGCCGACAUUAGGAGAGGACCUUGCUAGUCGUCCCUGCGAACUGAGGCCUAGUGACAGACUGAAUACAGCUCUGAUUGGCUGCAGAGUCCAAUCAAGGACUUUGGGUGCCGGCUCCGCAGUUACUGAGACUUUCAAGAUUGGUUUUGUAUAUUUUGUAUUAUUUUCUCUAUUCUUAUCAGUAGCAUUAGUAAAACAUUUUUAAUUUUUCCAACUCUCUUCUCUCUGUCCUUUCCCUCCCGAUCGCCUGUCCUGA